UGUAUAAAUUGAUCAAAAUGUUUUCCAUUUAUUACAUGCAAAAGAGAAAAAAAAAAAGUAUGGCUCGAAUUCUAUGUUUCUUUUAUGGUUUACUCAUCUUUGUUUCUCUAUUUAUGGUCGCAACCAACCAAAGCAUCCCUGAUGUUCUUCCAUGCCUUUUUAGCAAUGAAUGUCCACCAGAUCUGUGUCCAACUGAUCUAUUUGCGAAGUGCAUUAAUUUAACUUGUCAAUGCACUGCUGAGUACGAUUUAGAUUAAGUUGUCAAUUUCAAUGAAAAGAUCAUAUGUAUUGUUAUAUUAUGCAACUAUAUUGCCAUCAUGAACUCAGAAGAAAUGCAUAACAAUAAUAUUAUGGUUUAAUCAUAAUUACCUACUAUAAUAAAUAAAGACACUAUAUGACUA